rnacentral:rRNA from 1 species
GACGAACGCUGGCGGCGUGCCUAAUACAUGCAAGUCGAACGCUGAAGGAGGAGCUUGCUUCUCUGGAUGAGUUGCGAACGGGUGAGUAACGCGUAGGUAACCUGCCUGGUAGCGGGGGAUAACUAUUGGAAACGAUAGCUAAUACCGCAUAAGAGUAGAUGUCGCAUGACAUUUGCUUAAAAGGUGCAAUUGCAUCACUACCAGAUGGACCUGCGUUGUAUUAGCUAGUUGGUGAGGUAACGGCUCACCAAGGCAACGAUACAUAGCCGACCUGAGAGGGUGAUCGGCCACACUGGGACGGAGACACGGCCCAGACUCCUACGGGAGGCAGCAGUAGGGAAUCUUCGGCAAGGGACGGAAGUCUGAACGAGCAACGCCGCGUGAGUGAAGAAGGGUGUCGGAUCGUAAAGCUCUGUUGUAAGAGAAGAACGAGUGUGAGAGUGGAAAGUUCACACUGUGACGGUAUCUUACCAGAAAGGGACGGCUAACUACGUG